GCUCUAAAAAACACAAGAAAACAAUACCUGAAAUGCUCUUGAAGAAAUGAUGACCUGUUAAUUUUGCAAACAAAACAUGAUGCACUCAACACGAAAGUGAUUGCACAUGGAAACAAGUUCCACAUCAAUGACCAUGCUGAUCACAGUAUCAUCCUCCAUCCAGCCCACUCCCGUCCGCCACCAUGCAUCUCCCCCUCCCACCCUCCCAAAGCCCAAGAAAGACAACCUGCGGCUCCAGCAGCUGCUGAAGAAGGCUGCCAAGAAGAAUGCCAUGCUAUCUGCAGAGCAAGCUAAAUCUUUUCGGUCCAACCUCUCCCCAGUGAAUGAGGCCAGCUCUGACCUAGAACGCAGUGAGCAUGUUCCCCCAGCAGAGACCCACAAAGCAGCAGCACCUGGCCCCACCAGCCUCCCAACACACCUCUCCAUCAAGCCUAUCACCCACCAUCGUGUGCACUCCCCUUUCCGCAAGAGCAAGCCCUUCGUGUUGAAGGUCACCGAGCAGAGACGCAUUGCUGAGCACCUCAGGCUCACCACUCCCACAGCUGAGUCCCCACUGCAUGAGCCAGGUGCUCCUAAGGCUCCUCAGCAGCUUGAAGGCACAGAUGCACACCUUCCCUCUCCACACCACACUUCAGUAAUCAUUUCCCCCCAUCCUCCUCUUACCAACACACCCAGAAAGGAAGGAGCAACAGCGGCCACCUAUAUCACCAAGGUACACACUUAUUUUCGCAGCGUCAAGGCACCAAGAGCCAAGACACCAACAUCAUACCAGACCCAAUCAACAUCUGGUCACGAAGACAAAAGGCCUUCCUCUCCAUCACCUGAAACAAGUGGCUCUGAACCAUUCCCAGGGCAGAUGUCUGCCCCUCAUGACAGCAGCAAGGCCCCAGCUCCUGCACUGCAGCCUACUCUUCCUCCUGCUGCAAAGGCAGAACCUCCUAAUCAAGCUCCCAGGCCCACUUCUCCUGAAGAGGCCACCAAGGCCCCUUCACCCAAACUGAGCACCCCUGAUGUCCACUCCUGUACGGUUACAGUCCAUGGAAGUGACGCGGAAAUAUCCAGAUCAGAGAGAGCUCCUGAAUUGCCCAGGCAAGAUAGUGAUAUUCUAAAACCAUUGACACUCAAUACACCUUGGAGACCAGAACAACCUGAAACAACAAGCCCCAUACAACCUGGACCCACCCUCAUAGACGCGAAGGCAGAACACACUGUGCAACCUCAGCCAAACCCCAGCCUGCCAAACACCAGCCCUCCUCUCAAAGCUGGGACAACGCUAGUUGAAGACUCAGUGCCCCUUGGAGACAAGGGCAGUGGCUGGCAUCGUCUCAGGAAGCACCUGAUAUUGCAGCCAGAAGCACCCAGCUUCCCAGAGCUGGAAGCAGAAAAACCAGGACAGGAGGAAGGGAACAAGGAGAAAGACAGCUCUCUAAGCAUCAGUCAAGACAACAGACCAUUUAAAUCUAGAGCCACGAAGAUGUGGGAUGCCAUUUUAUACCAGAUGACAGUCAACAAGGAGAGAAAGCAGCAUGCAGAAGAGAAGAAAGCACAGAAGGAAGAAGGCUUCUUUCUUCCCCGCCGUUUACCCAUCUUUCUGCAUAAACCACGCUUUGAUGCCCGGAAACUAAGAGAGCUGGCUGCCAAACCCAUGACAAAAUUCACCACUGUGUUUGAAGUAGGACGGUAUGGAUCCAGGACAGACAAGGAGCAAACCAAGACCUUUAACAGAACAGCAUCAGGAUGGUCAGUCAACUGAAGCCAAGUUACUCCAGCAGACCUACCACUCCAGAGGGUCCUACAGGGCACCAAGCAAGAGAGCACCUGCAACUAGGUAGUCUGCCUGGCAGAGCCAAGUAUAAGGAAAAAAUAAAAUAAAAGUAAACCACCUCCA
ensembl:lncRNA